UACGAAGGGGGCGAGCGUUGUUCGGAUUUACUGGGCGUAAAGGGCGCGUAGGCGGCCUUGUCAGUCAGGCGUGAAAGCCCCGGGCUCAACCUGGGAACGGCGCUUGGGACGGCGAGGCUGGAGUUCGGGAGAGGAGAGUGGAAUUCCCAGUGUAGAGGUGAAAUUCGUAGAUAUUGGGAAGAACACCGGUGGCGAAGGCGGCUCGCUGGACCGACACUGACGCUGAGGCGCGAAAGCGUGGGGAGCAAACAGG
rnacentral:rRNA from 1 species